UCAUGGCCUACAAACAAGGAACUCCUGCCAACCGCUUCCAUGUGCUUCUCAUGUGCAAUUCGGACCAGCUGCAUUCCGCCCUAAGGAUGCUCGAGCUAUGCCUUAGUCAAUUUAACAUUGUCCCAUACCAAUGCCGGCGUAAUCCGCUUCCAUCAUAUUUCCCGCACACUGCCCGGCACCCAUACACCGUGCGCACACUGCCUUUGGCCCUUGUCCGUUGCCAUGUUCCUUUCUGCUUCAUUUCCCUCGUGCCAUCACUUGUAUUUUCUUUCCUAUAGCCUUGCCUUGGCUAUUGAAAGCCUUUGCCGUCAACCCGCAUUCCCGCUUUGCCUUAGCUUAGCCCGCAUUUAGCUGUCCCGACCAAUGUCAUGCCGACUGUCUUUGGCGCGCAUGCCGUGCCAUGCCGCCCCAUUUUGCCGANNNN
rnacentral:lncRNA from 1 species